ACUGGGGGACGGCGCGGCGGAGCUCGCCACCCGGCUCCUGGGUGUCUGCACCCCGGCCGUGGGAUGGGGGCACGCGUGGAGCUGUGGUGGGGGCCACGUGUCAGAGGAACAAGGGACACCCCCGGCUGACCCAGAAUCUGGAGAGGGAUGAGGCGGCAGGGGGACCAGGCUAGCAUGAGGCCUCUGAGUCUUCUCAGCGCCGGGACCACGGGCCGGGUCCUGGAGGUUACCAGGUGUGGAUCCAGCCAUGAGGGUGGCGGGAUGGAUGCCAGUCACUUGGAUUUAAGAAACGACUCUUCCAGGAAGAUGGGUAGCAAAAUGGGUGUGACUAUUGCACUGAUUUUUUUUUCCCGAGACAGCGUCACACUAUGUAGACCAGGCUGGACCCAAACUCAAGAUACUCCGCCUCCCCGAGUACAGGGAUUAAAGACCUUUGCCACCACGGCCGACCGGCUGGGUGGCUUGCUUUAUUCAUACAUUCAUUCACUUAUGUCUCCAUCUAUCAUGUCCUGGAAUUAAGUCACUUAUGUAUCCCUUGUAUUUACAUGAGCUCUGGAAUGUUGGAAUGGCAGGGUACAAAGUGAAAGUUAUCCUAGGUACCAGUGUGGGACAGAACAAAUCACAAAAUCCCUUUCCUUUAAAAUUAUGAUGUAGAGAGAGAUGCUGAGAGGACAGAUAAAA
rnacentral:lncRNA from 1 species